AUUUGAGAGUAGUAAUUCAAGAUAGAGAAAUCUGGGGCUUAUUUUCAUGUUCUUAUAUCUUACCUAUAACUGUCUUAAGAUCACCAUAAUUACAAACAGAAAAAAAUAAAUAAAGAUCUGAUUUAUGCGAAUACUAUUCUCCAAAUGAGCUGAUGUUUCUAAAAAAAUAAUGGAGAUAUUUUAGUAUGUUUUUACUAUCUGUUGCAUGGAACCUUUAGUAAACAGGAACACAGUAAUAUCUCUGACUUAUUACCAUGAUUCAACACCUAACAUGUUAAACAUUAAAAAUUUUUACUUUUAUUUAGUGGGAAAAUUUAUACACAAUGUGAAUAAACUAUUUUAUAAUCCACUGUAAAGUCUUGAAAUUGUAGAUUAACAACUCUGAGGAACAAGCCUUCUUCUGCUAAAAAAAACUAAUACCAGGUGUUUAAAAAAGAACUUGCCACAUUCUUCACAAUUGUAGGGUUUCUCUACACUAUGAAUUCUGGGGUGCAUAAUAGAGAGUGAUCCUUGAUUAAAAGUUUUGCCACACUCUUUAAAUUUGUAGUGUUGACCACUGCUAUGGUACCUGUGGUCUUUAGAAAGUGGUGUGGAACUUCCUGCUUGAACAUAUUCCUUAAAUAUGUGGGGCUCCCUUUCAGGAUGAGUUCCACUGUAUUGAGGAAUGCUUGCAGUUGGAUAAGAAGCUCUCUCCCAUUCCUCAUAUUUGCAAGGCAUCUCUUGGCUCUGAGUACUUCGAUGGUGCUUUGAGCAAUGAGGAGGGACUUUCUUACAUCUGUCAUCUUUGUGAAUGUUCUGGGCACAAUUACCACACUGAUGUUCGCUUUGAUUGCAACAAAAGCUAAAUUUGUUAUGUGUUUUGCUAGAUUCAUGCUUUUUUUUCUCCAAUGUAAGGGCACUGGUAAUUGCUUAGCAUAGAGACCUGACUGAAGGUGUUGCUUGUUUCAUCACAUGUAUUGCACACUUUCCAGAAAUCUAUAUCUGAAUUUUGAUUAAGCAGUAGGGAGUACAUAGGGGCCUUCCCACAAUCAUUAAAAGUGUAUCUUUGAGCACAAGAAUAAAUCUUUUGUUCAUUGCAGAAUGAUGGACAGAGUGUAGAGAAAUUUUCAAAAUCAACACUUUCAGAAACUUGUCCUUCAGUUAUAAAUUGAAUACUUUUCUGAGCUAUUAAAUCUUCUUGAGGACUGUCGAUAUUAUUAAGGACAUUUUUAUUAAAAAC
rnacentral:lncRNA from 1 species